rnacentral:pre_miRNA from 1 species
UUUAAAUGAAAUUGUGUGUUUAUAUGUCCAACAUUUGAUCGUCCGUCUUAUUUAAAAAGUUUAUAAAAAAAAUAAAAAUUAAGUCGCGUGUAUAAAGUACUAUUCAUGUUUUAUCAUCUAAUAACAAUAAAAUAUUAAUCAUAAAAGAAUUUCAAAUAAAACGAACAAUGAAACGUUAGACACAGAAAUCUAUAGCUGCACUUAAA